rnacentral:rRNA from 1 species
AACGAACGCUGGCGGCAGGCUUAACACAUGCAAGUCGAACGCAUGCCUUCGGGCAUGAGUGGCAGACGGGUGCGUAACGCGUGGGAACCUACCCCUUGGUACGGGAUAGCUCCGGGAAACUGGAGAUAAUACCGUAUGUGUCCUGAGGGACAAAGAUUCAUCGCCAAGGGAUGGGUCCGCGUCGGAUUAGCUAGUUGGUGGGGUAACGGCCUACCAAGGCGACGAUCCGUAGCUGGUCUAAGAGGAUGAUCAGCCACAUUGGGACUGAGACACGGCCCAAACUCCUACGGGAGGCAGCAGUGGGGAAUAUUGGACAAUGGGCGCAAGGCUGAGCCAGCCAUGCCGCGUGAGUGAUGAAGGCCCUAGGGUUGUAAAGCUCUUUCACCGGUGACGAUAAUGACGGUAACCGGAGAAGAAGCCCCGGCUAACUUCGUG